CAAACGACUCUCGGCAACGGAUAUCUCGGCUCACGCAUCGAUGAAGAACGUAGCAAAAUGCGAUACUUGGUGUGAAUUGCAGAAUCCCGUGAACCAUCGAGUUUUUGAACGCAAGUUGCGCCCGAAGCCAUUUGGCCGAGGGCACGUCUGCCUGGGCGUCACGC
rnacentral:rRNA from 18 species